UUCAUCUCCUCCCCUCACGGCGCCGAACUCACCUUCUUCCCCUACCUUCCUCUCUUGCUCUCGACACCGACCCGCCGAUCUCCUUCUUCCCUCUCUUCCUCGAGCGCGCGCACCCCAUCAGCCGCCGACUCUCCUCUUCUCCCUCGAGCCACACCGCCGGCUCUCCUCCUAACAUAGGCACCAUAGGUCGUCGUCCUUGUGCCCAAGCAUUGAAGCCGCAGAGCCGCCGCACGAAGCAGGGCCGAUGCCUUACAGCCGUCACCCUUGACGUCACUACGGUGAGCCGCCGGUUUCCCCUCAGUCUUGAUGCUGCUCCAUCCCUCUCUGCCCUAGCGCCGGCCGCCCGAUCCACUACCACCUCCGGCCACGACGAGAGCUGGCCAACAGGUAGCAGGUAGAUGACUCAUGGACGCUUGGAGAGAUGUCGACUGCCAGUCCUGGGUCCUCCGUUUUAUCGAUUUUAUUUUUGCUUUACUUGUAUUUUUAGCAUACAACGAUUUUUAGUAUUGUAUGAAUUGAUCGGUGUUUGGAGUUGAAUCGUGGUGUUUUGCUUUUCGUGAUCUUGUGGUUGUGUUUGGAGUUUAGUUUGGUGGUUGUAGGUAUUUUUGUUAGUGAAUGUAUUAUUUUGUGUUUUCCGUUGUGUUUACGUCGUUGUGUGUGUACUUUCAGCCGUGUAGGCUUAUUAAACUACCUGGUUGUGUUUAUUUUAUUC